UACGAAGGGGGCUAGCGUUGCUCGGAAUCACUGGGCGUAAAGCGCACGUAGGCGGCUUUUUAAGUCAGGGGUGAAAUCCUGGAGCUCAACUCCAGAACUGCCUUUGAUACUGAGAAGCUCGAGUCCGGGAGAGGUGAGUGGAACUGCGAGUGUAGAGGUGAAAUUCGUAGAUAUUCGCAAGAACACCAGUGGCGAAGGCGGCUCACUGGCCCGAUACUGACGCUGAGGCACGAAAGCGUGGGGAAGCAAACAGGG
rnacentral:rRNA from 1 species